rnacentral:rRNA from 1 species
CCUACGGGCGGCAGCAGUGAGGAAUAUUGGUCAAUGGACGAGAGUCUGAACCAGCCAAGUAGCGUGAAGGAUGACUGCCCUAUGGGUUGUAAACUUCUUUUAUAUGGGAAUAAAACGUUCCACGUGUGGGAUUUUGUAUGUACCAUAUGAAUAAGGAUCGGCUAACUCCGUGCCAGCAGCCGCGGUAAUACGGAGGAUCCGAGCGUUAUCCGGAUUUAUUGGGUUUAAAGGGAGCGUAGGUGGAUUGUUAAGUCAGUUGUGAAAGUUUGCGGUUCAACCGUAAAAUUGCAGUUGAAACUGGCAGUCUUGAGUACAGUAGAGGUGUGCGGAAUUCGUGGUGUAGCGGUGAAAUGCUUAGAUAUCACGAAGAACUCCGAUUGCGAAGGCAGUUCACUGGACUGCAACUGACACUGAGGCUCGAAAGUGUGGGUAUCAAACAGGAUUAGAUACCCUUGUAGUC